UAAUACGUAGGGGGCGAGCGUUGUCCGGAAUGACUGGGCGUAAAGGGCGCGUAGACGGUUGUCUAAGUCUGGAGUGAAAGUCCUGCUUUUAAGGUGGGAAUUGCUUUGGAGACUGGAUGACUUGAGUGCGGAAGAGGUAAGUGGAAUUCCCAGUGUAGCGGUGAAAUGCGUAGAGAUUGGGAAGAACACCAGUGGCGAAGGCGACUUACUGGGCCGUAACUGACGUUGAUGCGCGAAAGCGUGGGGAGCGAACAGGAUUAGAUACCCUGGUAGUCCACGCGGUAAACGAUGAGUGCUAGGUGUAGCGGGUAUCGACCCCUGCUGUGCCGGAGUUAACACAAUAAGCACUCCGCCUGGGGAGUACGGCCGCAAGGUUGAAACUUAAAGGAAUUGACGG
rnacentral:rRNA from 1 species